CCUGGAGGUGUAGCAAAGUAGCAGAGCAUCUGCUUUGCAUGCAGAUGGCCCCGGGUUCAACCCCCAGCCAGGU